ensembl:lncRNA
GGGUCAGCUGUCCUGGGUCUGUCCCCUCCCAGCUCCUGCUGCACCCCCAGCCUGCUCGCUGGCAGGACAGAGCGAGAAGCUGACAAGUCCUUGGCUUGGUGUAAGCACUGCUCUGCAACAAUUAAACCAUCAUGGUGUUAUCAACAUUCUUCUCAUCCUAAAUCCCAAACACAGCACCCUACCAGUUACUAGGAGGAAAAUUAACUCUAUCCUAGCUGAAACCAGGACAGUCUCUGUCCUGGCCGGGUCCUGCCUGGUAACCUUCCCCUCCACGCUAAGAGAACGGGAGAGGCAGGAUGGAAAAAGGAACACUCCCUGCUGGGGCAGAGAGAGCUAAGAGGUAGGUCUGUACUAAGUGAGGGAGAAGAGCUGGGGUGGAGAUGAUACUCUGCAGAUAUGGGCCACAGCUGCAGAAAUCCCCUGCGUGAUUUGUGCCCCUCUGGCAGUGCUGCAGACACUGGGGGGUGUCCUGGGGGACCUGGAUGGCUGCUCACCUCCUCCAGCUCUGGGCUGUUUAAUUUCUAUCUAGCCCAGCUGGUCUCUGCUGAGUUUGACUCCUGGUGGUUCUGCUCGUCACUGCUGAGGGCCAGUUCCCCAUGGAAAUGAUGGAAGUAGGGCCAGUGGUGAAAGCAAAUCACUGUGUAUUUAGGGCCAGUCUUCCUGGAGUAGGCAUUUGGCUUUCCCAGCUAGGUAUUUUGUAGCAGGUGCUAAAGUAGGUACUUGGUAUCUCUGCCAACCAGAUCCAUGGAUCAAAUACACCCCCCACUAGUCUGUAUUUGGGGUAGUCUCUUGUUUCAACGUCCCUCAGGUCUGUAGGCUUGCAGCUGGCUGCAGGUACCUCCUGUCCUGCCUGGCUGUACCCUUGGCUGGGAGGGAUGGCAAUCAAUGGGCUCCAGCAUCCUCUAGAGACACCCGGGAACCCUGGCCCUGCAUCGUGUCCAUUGCCUGAUGAGCCUGUUGGAGGGCUUCCUCCUGCCCUGGGAGGUUUUGGGCUCCACACAGGUGGUGGUGAGUGAAGAUGAGGCCGUGGAGGUGAUGAGGGGCUGGAGGACAGGAGAGGAGCAGUCAGAGCAGCAGGUCUGUGCAGCCUGGGAGAGGGAAAGGGGGUGUCACUGCUGUCGGCAGCUGCCUGAUGAGACUUUGGAGAGAAGCCGGAGCCGGGCUCUCCUGGGAAGUGCCCAGGAACAGGAUAAGAGGCAGCGGCACAAGAUGCAUCAAGGCAAAUUCCAACUAGAUAUUAGGAAAAAUAUUUCCCCACAAGGGCAGUUGAACUCUGGAGCAGGGCCCAGAGAAGGGGGAGCAAUCUCCAAAUUCGGAAAGCCUCAGCCCUCGGCAGGGCCAGCCCCUGAGCAACUUGCUCGAGGUUGACCCCACUCCAAGCAGGACUGGACCAUGAGGUCUCUUCCUACCUGCAUCGCUGCCUGGUCCUGCAGCCCUCGGGGCACUUGGCAGUGUAACAGCUCACGGUCUGUUGGACUGACGUGGUUGUAGGUACACAGAGGGCUUGGAGGUUUGUUUGUCCAUCCCCUGGCCAUGGCACAGCAAACAGCAGCCCUUCUCCUGGCUUGGUUCACUUCAGCCGUGCAGUACCUGCAGUGCUGGGAACAGAGGUGCUGCAGCAUCACCCAGCUCAUUGCUUUACCCCUACCUAUCUCAGUUGGAGCGCCCUUCUCCCCAGAGCACCGUGCUAUUCCCUCCCUGCUCAAGCAUAAAUAAAAGGCACCAUGGCAGCA